GACGAACGCUGGCGGCGUGCCUAAUACAUGCAAGUCGAGCGGAUGACGGAGGAGCUUGCUCCUCCUGAUUCAGCGGCGGACGGGUGAGUAACACGUGGGCAACCUGCCCUGUAGAUUGGGAUAACUCCGGGAAACCGGGGCUAAUACCGAAUAAUCCUUCGGACCUCAUGGUCCGAUGUUGAAAGACGGCAUCUCGCUGUCACUACAGGAUGGGCCCGCGGCGCAUUAGCUAGUUGGUGAGGUAACGGCUCACCAAGGCCACGAUGCGUAGCCGACCUGAGAGGGUGAUCGGCCACACUGGGACUGAGACACGGCCCAGACUCCUACGGGAGGCAGCAGUAGGGAAUCUUCCACAAUGGACGAAAGUCUGAUGGAGCAACGCCGCGUGAGUGAAGAAGGUUCUCGGAUCGUAAAACUCUGAUGUGAGGGAAGAACAAGUACCGGAGUAACUGCCGGUGCCUUGACGGUACCUCAUUAGAAAGCCACGGCUAACUACGUGCCAGCCGCCGCGGUAACAC
rnacentral:rRNA from 1 species